rnacentral:rRNA from 1 species
GUAGGUGGCAAGCGUUAUCCGGAUUUACUGGGCGUAAAGAGGGCGUAGGCGGUCUUACAAGUCAGAUGUAAAAUCUCUCGGCUUAACCGGGAGGGAUCAUUUGAUACUGUUAGGCUGGAGGACAGCAGAGGGAGGUAGAAUUCCCGGUGUAGUGGUGAAAUGCGUAGAUAUCGGGAGGAAUACCAGUGGCGAAGGCGGCCUCCUAGGCUGUUUCUGACGCUGAGGCCCGAAAGCGUGGGGAGCGAACAGGGAUUAGAUACCCUGGUAGUCCACGCUGUAAACGUUGGACACUGGGUAUGGGGAGUAUCGACCCCUCUCCGUGCCGAAGCUAACGCGUUAAGUGUCCCGCCUGGGGGACUACGGCCGCAAGGCUA